UACGAGUGCUCCAAGCGUUAUCCGGAAUUACUGGGCGUAAAGGGUGUGUAGGUGGUUAUAUUAGUCUCUUGUUAAAGCUCCCGGCUCAACCGGGAAAAGGCAGGGGAAACGGCAUAACUUGAAGAUACGAGAGGUAUGUAGAACUCAUGGUGUAGGGGGUGAAAUCCGUUGAUAUCAUGGGGAAUACCAAAAAGCGAAGGCAGCAUACUAGCGUACUCUUGACACUGAAAACACGAAAAGCGUGGGGUAGCGAAUGGG
rnacentral:rRNA from 1 species